GGCUGGUUUAAAGGUAGUCAGUUAUGUCAACUGAUUGUUCACAGUGAAGUUAGAGAUUGAACUCCUUGUUCUACUCUUUGCCUCCUUCUCACUACCACACUUGACUGACUAGUUUU
ensembl:misc_RNA Y_RNA Y RNA